rnacentral:rRNA from 1 species
CACGUAGGGCGCAAGCGUUGUCCGGAAUUAUUGGGCGUAAAGAGCUCGUAGGCGGUCUGUUGCGUCCGCUGUGAAAACUCGGGGCUUAACCCCGGGCCUGCAGCCGAUACGGGCAGACUAGAAUUCGGUAGGGGAGACUGGAAUUCCUGGUGUAGCGGUGAAAUGCGCAGAUAUCAGGAGGAACACCGGUGGCGAAGGCGGGUCUCUGGGCCGAUAUUGACGCUGAGGAGCGAAAGCGUGGGGAGCGAACAGG